rnacentral:rRNA from 1 species
UACGUAGGGUGCAAGCGUUGUCCGGAAUUAUUGGGCGUAAAGAGCUCGUAGGCGGUCUGUCGCGUCUGCUGUGAAAACUCGGGGCUUAACCCCGGGCCUGCAGUGGGUACGGGCAGACUAGAGUGCGGUAGGGGAGACUGGAAUUCCUGGUGUAGCGGUGAAAUGCGCAGAUAUCAGGAGGAACACCGAUGGCGAAGGCAGAUCUCUGGGCCGUAACUGACGCUGAGGAGCGAAAGUGUGGGGAGCGAACAGG